UAUGAGGUCGGUCCAUCGUGUUGGAGAUA
rnacentral:sRNA from 1 species